UACAGAGGAGGCAAGCGUUGUUCGGAAUCAUUGGGCUUAAAGGGCGCGUAGGCGGCUGCGCAAGUGUCUUGUGAAAUCCCACGGCUCAACCGUGGAAUGGCUGGGCAAACUGCGUGGCUUGAGGUCGGUAGAGGUGCCUGGAACUCUAGGUGGAGCGGUGAAAUGCGUAGAUAUCUAGGGGAACGCCCGAGGCGAAAGUGGCGAACUGGGCCGAUUCUGACGCUGAGGCGCGAAAGCGUGGGGAGCAAACAGG
rnacentral:rRNA from 1 species